GGUGAGGAGCGGCGGGGCCGUGAGGGGGAACCGGGCCUGAGGCGGGUGGGGGGGGGCUUCGUGAGGUGGGUCCGGCCCUGAGGGGGUGGACGCGUGGGGAGCCUGAGGCCGCUGUGUGCCGCAGGAGGAGGUUGCAGCCGUUCACGCCGAGGCCCUCGUCUCCUGUGGAGAUUGAGGAGGGGAGGUGAGAAGAAAUGGUUAAGGUGCUCCAAUAUAUUGCAUGCACUUUGGAGAUACUGAAGCGAGACAGUUGGAGAUGACAGGCUUAUUUCAGCUUCAUCCUCCCACCCAGGAAGGAUGCGAGUCCUCUGUGCAAGAAGUCCGGCAGGCUUUCAGAAGUCACUGAGCUAGGACACAGCUCCGUAUUUACAUUAUAUUGCCGUGGUCGCCCUCCUGCCCUGUGAUCUGUGCCCCAGACGGUUGUCACCAGGGUGCUCCCACCAUCAGAUGCCACUGAGGAGCACCCCCCAGUUUCUGUUAAAAGCCCGUUCCCUGACAGACCACGAGCCACACGCUGCACUGGUGAGCCCCAGCUGCACUGAAUGAAGGCGGUCAGAGCCCAGACCCCUCAGGAAUUGGCUCUUUUUUUUAACUCCAAUUUCAUGUUUUUGUCUAUUUGGGAGGUGACCAGUGGCACUUAAUGUGGGUCAAGCCUGGCAAACUGAUCUCCAUGGCAACCCUUAAUGAAUGCCAUUGGCUCAGUGGUUCCAUCCCUGCAUCUCAUUAAAUUUCAAUGACUUUCAUGGGGCUCGGACAUGUAAUUAAUAUCAAACACAUGGUAUUCAGCAGGGUAAGGUUUAACAGCAGGCAACGUGUGCACGAGCAGGAGACUGACGUGGGGGGGCAGGGGGAAUGUUUGGGCUCUGUCCCCAAACGCCGCAGGAACAAACAGCCCAUGAAAAAGAAGCAGAAGGCAGAGCCUGGCGGUUGCUGCUCGCAGCCUGGCAGAGACGGAGCUGGGCUCUUUAUCCCCGUUCGCUUUGGAGAAGAUUGGGAAGCAGUUCUGUGACAGGGGCUGAUGCCCGCAUGUCAGAGUGGCUCUCAUUGCUUUGUGACCAGUAGCCAUCUUGCUGAAGUAGUUCCAUUGUUGUAAGAAAUCAGGAAUUGUGGCACAUGUGCUGGCUAAAGGGAACUCCCCAAAGGCCCGGAAGGGUGGAGGAGGCUGCACGAGGCAGGAAGAAACAUUCAAUUGCGUGCUUCGAUUUAUUUUGGUCAUGUACAGGUACAGCCUCGUCUGUGGCUUCUGUGGCACAAAGGGAACCCUCCCCAACCCCUGCGCAGCAGCACCACAGAGCAGCUUCCAAAGUCCUCGCGAGAAACCACUGUGGACUUGGGAGCAUCUUGUGCUUAUCAUGAGGCUGGAGUGAAUCACAGCUCUUCAGAAGUGGGCAGUGCAGCCCAAGCAUAGGGCUGCUGAGAUGGUGGCGCAGGGACCGCCUGACCCUCACACCAUCCAGCUGCACAGGAGGCCCGGGGGAGGCUCCUUCUCUAGGGGAAGGGACAGAUGCCAAAAUGCAGGGGGGAGUGGCUUCUGUUGUUUGCCAAAUUGAAUUUGGAUUUCCUAGGGUUUGCCUGCCUCUAGUGAAGAUCCCAAUCAUUUCAGCUGUAUUAAAAUCUUACAGCGUCUUAUCUCCCAUGGACUAAUGUUAUCAGACAUGAAAUGAAGCAAAAAGGGGGGAAGGAGGGGGAAGGAAAUAACCUCUGCUAAUUACUAAUGCAAAAUGAGUAAUGAGAUGAAGAAAUGAUGUGCUAUCAGAUACA